rnacentral:pre_miRNA from 1 species
GUUGUACUUCCUCCUUCGGAAAUACUUGUCGGAGGAAUGGAUGUAUCUAGACGUAUUUUAGUUUUAGAUACAUUCGUUUUUAUGCAUUUCUCUGAUAAGUAUUUCCGGGCCGAGGGAGUACAUA